ensembl:antisense Gm27040 predicted gene, 27040
GGCGCACGCGGGGAGGCGGCAGCGAGGGAGACAGCAGGCUCGGCGGGGGCUCCGCGGCGGAUCCCGGGGGCUCCUGCAGCGCCAGCGGGAACUGCAGCGAACCCGAGCCGCCCAGCAGGCUGUAGCACAGUCCACAGAGUUCACUGAAGUGUAACUUCCUAAACUGCUGAGAACAUGACAGCUGUGACUCAAAGCCUGCCAAGACACAGAGCCAGCCUAUAUGUCCCGCAGCAGAUGAAGAGAUAAAGAAAUCUGAUGAAUGAAACCACGACAUUUUUCAGAAAUAUUGAUGGAGCAGCAGGUCAUCAUGGCUUUCCCUGGGAACUUGGUCCGUUUGUCUCAGCCACAGGCUUGAAGCCCUCCCAGUCACUGAUUCCUCACACAGUCCAUUCAACUCCUUCAGUUGCUCAUGGAGGCCCUCUGUGCCCUCUACACUUGAGCUAUUUUAAUUUGACAUAAUUUAUAUAUUCCGGCACUACAAUUAAAUAGUAUGUCUUUAAAUAA